AAUGGCAAAAACCACAAUUACUUUUGCACCAACCUAA
rnacentral:miRNA from 13 species